rnacentral:rRNA from 1 species
GGGCCCGCACAAGCAGUGGAGCAUGUGGUUUAAUUCGAUGCAACGCGAAGAACCUUACCUGGGCUUGAAAUUCUACUGACAGGGGAUGAAAGUCCCUUUUCCUUCGGGACAGUAGAACAGGUGCUGCAUGGCUGUCGUCAGCUCGUGCCGUGAGGUGUUGGGUUAAGUCUCGCAACGAGCGCAACCCCUACCGUUAGUUGCUACCGGGUCGAGCCGGGCACUUUAGCGGAACUGCCUGCGCAAGCAGAGAGGAAGGUGGGGAUGACGUCAAGUCCGCAUGGCCCUUAUGUCCAGGGCUACACACGUGCUACAAUGGUGAAGAACAGCGAGUUCCGAAGCCGCGAGGCGGGGGUAAUCUCUGAAAUUUCACCUCAGUUCAGAUUGGAGUCUGCAACUCGACUCCAUGAAGCUGGAAUUGCUAGUAAUCGCGCAUCAGCAUGGCGCGGUGAAUACGUUCCCGGGCCUU